GAUGAACGCUGGCGGCGUGCCUAAUACAUGCAAGUCGAGCGAACAGACGAUGAGCUUGCUCCUCUGACGUUAGCGGCGGACGUGUGUGUAACACGUGUAUAACCUACCUAUAAGUCUGGUAUAUCUUCGGGAAACCGGAGCUUAUACCGGAUAAUCUCUUGAACCGCAUGGUUCAAUAGUGAAAGACGGUUUUGCUGUCUCGUAUAGAUGGAUCCGCGCCGCAUUAGCUAGUUGGUAAGGUAACGGCUUACCAAGGCAACGAUGCGUAGCCGACCUGAGAGGGGGAUCGGCCACACUGGAACGGAGACACGGUCCAGACUCCUACGGGAGGCAGCAGAAGGGAAUCUGCCGCAGUGGGCGAAAGCCUGACGGAGCAACGCCGCGUGAGUGAUGAAGGUCUUCGGAUCGUAAAACUCGGUUAUUAGGGAAGAACAAAUGUGUAAGUAACUAUGCACGUCUUGACGGUAACUAAUCAGAAAGCCACGGCUAACUACGUG
rnacentral:rRNA from 1 species